rnacentral:lncRNA from 1 species
GGGUGGAAUUGUACGGCCUAAUGAGACAUGGGUCUAUAACGGUCAAACAAUGGAUAUUGUGGAACAAUUUUGUUAUUUAGGUGUAUUAAUACCGUAUAAUUGUAAAUUUCUUAAAUACACAGAAACAUUGUGCAGAACAAGGUAGAAAAGCUAUGUUCAGUAUGAGAAGAACUACAUCAUCAUUAUGUUUAAAUGUAUUUACAAUGCUUAGUCUUUUUGAUACUUAUGUUAGUAGCAUAUUAAUGUAUGGGUGUGAAAUAUGGGGAGUACACAAAUCUCCUAUGAUAGAAAAGGUCCAUUUGGACUACUGCAAAAUGUUAUUAAGUGUCAAAAGAACGACCUCAAAUGUGAUGGUCUAUUUUGAAUUAGGUAGAUUUCCACUGCAGUAUGAGCGUAAUUAUAGAAUAUUUAAAUUUUUGUUCAAAAUUUUAAUUAGUGACAAUUGUAUAUUAAGGUCUUGUUAUAAAGAACUUGUGUUAAGUUGUUCAAAAUGUAUGAAUUGGGCAACAUAUGUUAAAAGAUUGAUAUAUAGUCUUGGUAUGAAUAAUUUGUGGGAUAAUCAGUGGUUGUUAAAUGUAGACAGCUCAUAUUUACCUUUGAUAAGACAGCGUUUGUUUGAUCAAGCUAACCAAGAGUUACAAUUUUUAUUAGAUUUUUCUUCAAAGUGCAGAUUAUAUAAGUAUGUUGUAACAAAUGUAGUUUUGCAAUUUUAUUUACAGAAAUGCAUUCCUGUACUUUUUAGUAAAUGUAUAACAACGAUUCUUUUGUCUUCACAACUCUUGUAUUGAAACUGGACAGUAUGUUGGUACUAAUAGAAAUGAAAGAAAUUGUAUUUUUUUGUGAUUUAGGAGUAAUAGAGGAUGAAUUUCAUUUUAUCCUUCAAUGUAGUAGAUAUACUGAUUUGCGAAAAAAAAUAUAUAAAAAAAUAUUACUGGUCUAGGCCAUCAACUUUUAAAUCAAUAGAAUUGUUGUCAGGUGAAAACACAAAACAGCUUUGUAACUUGGGAAAGUUUAUACAUUUCUCUUUUAAAUUAAGAAACAGUUUAUUGUAAUAAAAGAUAACUUGUAUUGAUGAAACUUCUGACGUCGCCUAUUGUUUAUUAUGCAUAUUGUUUAUAUUGUUUGUAAUAUGCCAUAUGUAUACACUGUACAUGUACUUGAUUAUACUGAUGAGCCGUAAGGCUCAAAGUUAAUAAAGAAUUUUAACUUGAAUUUGAGUAUUGAUACCAUACUUUAUGAUUGACAACUGUCAUUCUCAUCAAACAAUCAGGGACAAGGUGGACCUUUAAUUACAAUGCCCCACCUCCUAAACUAUCAACAUGAUCAAUCAAAUUGACAUCAUUACUUAUCAACCUCAGUCUUACAUAAUUAUACAAACC